AUUGAACGCUGGCGGCAUGCCUUACACAUGCAAGUCGAACGGUAACAGGUCUUCGGAUGCUGACGAGUGGCGAACGGGUGAGUAAUACAUCGGAACGUGCCUAGUAGUGGGGGAUAACUACUCGAAAGAGUGGCUAAUACCGCAUGAGAUCUACGGAUGAAAGCAGGGGAUCGCAAGACCUUGUGCUACUAGAGCGGCCGAUGGCAGAUUAGGUAGUUGGUGGAUAAAAGCUUACCAAGCCGACGAUCUGUAGCUGGUCUGAGAGGACGAUAAGCCACACUGGGAGUGAGACACGGCCCAGACUCCUACGGGAGGCAGCAGUGGGGAAUUUUGGACAAUGGGCGAAAGCCUGAUCCAGCAAUGCCGCGUGCAGGAUGAAGGCCUUCGGGUUGUAAACUGCUUUUGUACGGAACGAAAAGCCCCGGGUUAAUACCCUGGGGUCAUGACGGUACCGUAAGAAUAAGCACCGGCUAACUACGUGCCAGCCGCCGCCGUAA
rnacentral:rRNA from 1 species